AUACUUACUUGCAGGGGAGACGCCAUGAUCACGAAGGUGGUUCUCCCAGGGGUCGGCUCAUCCAUUGCACACCGGCUGUGCUCACCCCUGCAGUUUCCUUAAAAAAAAUUAAUUGUCUUUGGUGCAAAUGCUCUCAGUGGGAAACUGACUGUAUAAUUUGUGGUAGUGGGGGAUUGUGUUUUGCACUUUCCCCUG
rnacentral:snRNA from 1 species